rnacentral:lncRNA from 1 species
UUCAGCUCUACACUUUUCUGACACAACUCUCUGUAGGUAGAGGCCAAUUCCUCAAAGGUUACUUCACCAUCACUUGAGUCUUCAUCAGAUCCCCAUCUUCCUGUCAAAGCAGUCACAAGAUUUGCAGCCUCCUCUGUAUCACUCUCAUCUGACCAGGUGGCAGCAAGACUCAUCUUCUGCUUCUUGAGGUAGGUACCACAUUCUGUUCUAAUGUGUCCAUACCCAUCACAUUCAUAGCACUUUACUUCUUUUCCUUCUUUGGGCUUUUCUU